rnacentral:ncRNA from 2 species
UCAUACACCUUGGGGUGCCGGAAUUGGCCGGCUGAGAGGGGGGCCCGCAAAGUCCCCGACCCACGAACCUGAUCCGGAUAAUGCCGGCGUAGGAAAGCGUGAGGUUGAUUCUU